AAGCAACAUGAUAUCAGUAAUACACCUUUGCCAAAAACUGCCUCUUGGAUUAUUAGGAAAAUACUGGAAUGCAGGACUACUGUCAUGGAAAUCCAACAACUGCAAGGAACUCUUUACUACAGACUGAAAUCACUGUGUAAACUGGACAAGUUCCAAAUUCACAAGUUAUACAUUGCUAUGCUUCCUAGUUAUAGUAAAGUAGAUUGGAGGAAUG
rnacentral:lncRNA from 1 species